AGAGCAAACCGACCGGCCCACUAUCACAUCCUGGACCGACGCAUAAUCUACCCACGACCUUCCUUGUCUUCUCCAAUCUCUCGAUUCCUCCCAUCUCCGGAACACCAACGCCGCCAUUGGCCUCCUCCGGCAGACCCGCCGCCCACCGCCGCGGGGCCUCCUCCCACAGACCCCGCCGCCGCCUGCCUACUCCUGCAGAACCCACCGCCACCGCGGGCCUCCUCCCGCAAACCCCGCCGCUGCCGCGUGCCUCCUCCCGCAGAACCCGCCACUGCCGCCGCGACCUCCUCCUGCAGACCCCACCACCGCCGCGAGGUUCAUCCCGCAAACCUGCCGCCACCGCGAGCUUCCUCCCGUAACCCCGCUGGCGGCCUCCUCCCGCAACCCCGUCGACGACCUCCUCUCGCAUCCCCAUUGCCGGCAACGCCAAUGUGCGUCCCUGCUGGAUCCACCCGAUCCAGUGCUGCCGUUAGCCGCCGUUAACCCCGCCAGGCUACGGCACCGGUGCCAUCCACCCCGCUAGCCACUGUCCCCGCCUUCCACCCGUGACCCCGUGCUCGGCUAGCGUUGUUCCUCGUUUUCACACCUCUGACUCACCAUGGACGGUUUCCCCUCCUCUGCUCGAACUUCUUCUCCAACCACCGUCGUGCCAUCCUGAUGUUCAUUGGUGAAGCCCCGCAGGCAUCGUGCUCUGGAUGUCAUUGACGUUCUUCACAAAAAGAAAUGGCAGGAGCUCGGAUGCAAUUCCUUGUGAUGCGAUCUCAUACAAGAAGGUGAGAACAGAACUAGGCCCCACGUGAAGAAUUGACAGACUAACUCCAAUGGAAAUCAUCAUUCUAGUAUUGUUGUUGGGCUUUUCACUUCUCUUCUCGAAUGGACUAUACAUCGGAUAGAGACUCGAAGCUUGAGGCUUAUGCAUCUGACACUUAUGCACUUCCUGAAUGCUUGUCACUCACUCCUGUUUAGAAUGCUUGUUCAUGACACAAGUUUAACCAAAAAAAUAAACAAAGAAUAUCUUCCUGAAUGCUUAUGGCAGAUUCUUGUUUGCCUAUGUUUGAAAAUUGUGUCUGCAGAGACCUAUGUGCUGCUGGUGCUCGCUACCUGCGUGAAUAUAGGAAUGAAGAAGGUCACUAUUAGGAAGGGGAGAAUAUCACAUGAUGUGCAGGAAGAAUGUCGGAGUUCAGAAUGAUGUAUGUGAUCUUUGUGCUGUUUUUGGGGUGCAUUUCCACAUGGGGAUGUGAUCUCACUUCAUCUUCCUCUGCGUGUGGUGGACGCCAUGGCGAGCUCGCCGGAUCCCUACACAAAAAUGUAGCAGUUCAAAAGAAAUUAGGAUACAAGUUCAAGGGCCAUGGUGAGUUAGAAUUUUGUGUUAGGUUUCUGUUCAUUUUCAACCUAGCGUGCCUUCUUGCCACAUCUAACAGAAGAUUCCAAUUUUCUGAACAUGUAGCAUUUGUUUCCUGGGAGGUUGUCAGAUUUCAUUAACAUGAAUCUUCUGUCGCAUGUGUUUAGCAGUUACCUGGGGUUACUCAGCUCCUUCUGUCGGUUCACAAAAACACAUAUCUUGCUUUCAUCCAACUUGUUGCAAGAAGUUUUUGCUUUUGUAAGGUUGCCUAGGAACAGCUAUUUGUCUCAUAAUGCUAGCAGCAGCAGGCUGCACCACCCGGCGAUGGAGUCUAACAAGCAGAAGUAGAUCGUGAACGAACCCAUGGAGGUGGAGAGGCUAUUUUUUGGUCGUUUGAUUUUCAUCUGAGAGCACUAGUGUUGCUUGCUAGCUUCCCAAUGGAGCUUCAAGGAUUGCAGAGAACUCGAGUCCGAUAAAAGAAGAAUGAUACUUGCAGGCGAGCUAUAGUACAUAAAAAAUGUGUUUGUAUUUAUGCCUGAAUAGAUGUCAGCCAAAAAAAUGCGGAUUUGUUGUGCGUGUGUGUGUGCGUACUACACUGAAUUGAAAAAGACUAUUUUCUGUCAUGUAGAUCAAAGAAAGAACAUAGAAAUUUUAAAAAUGUGGAUAUACACAUUUUCUAUGUAUGAGCAAAAAAAAAAUGCAUAGUUUUUUCCUUCUUUA